AGAGUUUGAUCAUGGCUCAGAUUGAACGUUGGCGGCAGGCCUAAAACAUGCAAGUCGAACGGUAACAGCGGAAGCUUGCUUCCGGCUGACGAGUGGCGGACGGGUGAGUAACACGUAGGAAUCUACCUAGUAGUGGGGGACAACCCGGGGAAACCCGGGCUAAUACCGCAUACGCUCUACGGAGGAAAGCAGGGGAUCUUCGGACCUUGCGCUAUUGGAGGAGCCUGCGUCGGAUUAGCUAGUUGGUGGGGUAAAGGCCUACCAAGGCGACGAUCCGUAGCUGGUCUGAGAGGACGAUCAGCCACACUGGAACUGAGACACGGUCCAGACUCCUACGGGAGGCAGCAGUUAGGAAUCUUGGGCAAUGGGCGCAAGCCUGACCCAGCCAUGCCGCGUGUGUGAAGAAGGCCUUCGGGUUGUAAAGCACUUUCAGCGGUGAAGAAAAGCUCAGGGUUAAUACCCUUGAGUCUUGACGUUAACCACAGAAGAAGCACCGGCCAACUCCGUGCCAGCAGCCGCGGUA
rnacentral:rRNA from 1 species